rnacentral:SRP_RNA from 1 species
CUGUGCUAGGCGGGGAACUAGCGGUGCCCUGCACCCGCAAUCCGCUACAGCGGGGCUGAAUUCCCGGCCGAGGUCCGCGACCUUCGCCUCCCACGACAUCGUCCGACGUUGAGAGUCGGGUCCCACGCAGCGAGAGCCCGCGAACCCCGUCAGGUCCGGAAGGAAGCAGCGGUAAGCGACCGUUCUCGGGUGCCGUGGGGCGACCUGGCUGGAGCCGGAUGAUGGGCGCGCGCGCGGAGGCCAACGAUCGACGCCGGGUGCACGG